rnacentral:rRNA from 1 species
GACGAACGCUGGCGGCGUGCUUAACACAUGCAAGUCGAACGAAGUGGCGAACGGGUGAGUAACGCGUAAUCAACCUGCCCUUCAGUGGGGGACAACAGUUGGAAACGACUGCUAAUACCGCAUACUGAAGGUGGGGAUUGCGUCUGAUUAGUUAGUUGGAGGGGUAACGGCCCAACAAGGCGAGUAGCAGUAGCCGGUCGGAGAGGAUGAUCGGCCACAUUGGGACUGGGACACGGCCCAGACUCCUACGGGAGGCAGCAGUGGGGAAUCGUCCGGAAUGGACGAAAGUCGGACGGAGCAACGCCGCGUGAGUGAUGACGGGCUUCGGGUUGUAAAGCUCUGUUAAUCGGGACGCGGUACCGGAAUAGAAAGCCACGGCUAACUACGUGCCAGCAGCCGCGGUAAUUC